CAUUUCAACCCCUCUUUUUCCAUAGCCGCCACUCCUUGAGCCCUAGAUCUCACCACUUCAUCUUCGCCGCAUCAGUGACAAAAUCUCUUCAAUCAUCUUCCUAUGUUAACAACAUCGACUUCCUCCUCCAACUUUCAUCACCAGCGAUGUUGUUACCGGCCAACAUAAUCAUCGUCCGUGUUCUCCUCGCUCUGCUUCAACUUCUUUCUUCAACUCCUACAGCUCAGUCUCUAGUUUCUUUUCAUCACCAACCUCAAGGCUUUGCAGUUGGGAAGAAAUCCUACUUAAUGUGAAUUGUUCACAAAGACGCACUUUGCUAUCAAAACUAACCAAUUUGUGGAUAUUAGGUCAACUGAAGUUUCUGAACAUUACAUGAGGAUCAAGGCAUCCAGGAGUUCUAUUGUCGA